rnacentral:lncRNA from 1 species
GUGGAAAAGAGGAGUCCUCUCUGGUACUCAGAAGCUCACAUUAUAAAUAUAAUUAGGUGGCAUGCGUCUUUAAUAACACUAGGGUCUGGCCUGGGGGGAAACAAACAGGUGAACUCCUGGAUGAACUAGAUAGCUGCUCAACGGGUGGAACUGGAGAUCAGGAUAGUUGAUAAACUUUGCUUAGCGGUUUUCCCUGCCUUCACUCACUGGGUUCCGCGCUCGGCCUAACCCUUUAGGCUGGCGUACUCCGGGAAAGACGCUAGACGGCGCUGCUGGGACGCACUUUCUCCCGGGAAAGAGUCAAGAGAACAUCAUACAGAUAUUUAAAAAAAAAUUAACAUGAAUCAGAAUCCUGACAUGCCUGGUACUUUAAAGGAGGAAGAA